ensembl:snRNA U6 U6 spliceosomal RNA
GUGCUCGCUUCGGCAGCUCACAUACUAAAACUGGAAUGAUACAGAGAAGAUUGGCAUGGCCCCUGUGCAAUGACACACAAAUUCAUGUCACAUGCUAGUCUAUA